UAAUUUUUCAAUUUCAACAAAAAGAGAAAAGACUCGUCAGUUCGCCACUUGAGUGCAUUGCGCAUCGAGCAUGGUUAUCGACCACACUUUAUUGGUAUUUGGUGUUACUGAUUUAUCUUUUGACUGACACCAAAUAUUUCUUAAGGAAUAAACAUUGAAAAAAUACAAAUUACCUUUUUAGUAUCAUCCUAAAUUAAUAUAUUAUAAAAUUAAAACUUAUAAUAGUAAAAUACUGAAAAUAUUUGACUGAGUGAAAAUAUUUAGUUGAAAAGCUAAAUUAAGAAAAAAAAAAAUACCUGUCACUGUCACGUUGCUAACAGGGAGACUAGAAGUAAAAGUAUUUUUCCGAAAAAAUCGCAUUUGAAUUUUGUAAUAAUUAUUGAACAGAAUGUGGUACGAAGUUCUCCCAGCUUUUUUCAUAAUAACAGCUGGCAUGGGUUUACCGGGAUGGGGACUUUAUCACAUUCACAAUUUAACUUUAGGAAAUGGCUUAGAGAAAAUUCCCGAUUGAAAAAUUAAGUCAUUGGAUUUGAUAUACAUGAUACCAACAUUAGUUAUUGUAUUAUGAAAUAUAUAGAUUAAAUGUUACCUACUGUUAGAUAUUUA